rnacentral:lncRNA from 1 species
GACAAAAGUGGGUGCACUAUCAACAAGGCACCUUCGGGUUGGAGGGGCAAAGCUGUCCUGUCCUGUCCUGCCAAGGCGCUGCCAAGACCCACCAUCGGAAAAGCUCCUGUUAAGUCCUUCCAGAUUUUCUCCUAUUUUUCAUUAUUUCCUCCAAAAAACCACCUGCGCCUUUCAUGGCCAAAGCCACGUGUGCAGCGGCCAUCCUGGGUUCCGAGCUGGGAAGGGCCAGCUGGCCAGAGACCCCGAGUCUCCCAGACUGCACCGCCUCUGGCCAGCCUCCGAGGCUCCCCGAGCCCCCCUUUCAGCCGACCCCUUCUGAAUGGCGAGGACAAGGAAGGAGGCUGCGGAUUUGCGGAACUGACCCUUUGGAGCACGGACCGGCCUCGAAAGGGUGUCUGGGGGAGGCCAGACUCUGCGCCCAGCCUGGGGACCCAGGUGGGGGUUGGGGAGCGGGGUCGGGAAUCGGACUCUCCGGACUGCCUUUCCUUGAAGCAAUGGGGAGACACGAGCCCCAGGAGUCAAGGUCCCGGCCUGAAGCGGGCGGGCACGGGGUGUGGGGCAGGGAUCUAUCUCCCUCCGGAUCCGGUCCUGCUGGCCUCCCCCAGGGGGGCCUCAGCCCACAGGGGAAAGUCCCAGAGACCGAGUGAGGCACAAGUGGGCGGGGGGUCACGGUGUUGGGACUCCCAGCUCAGGGGGGAAGGACAGACUAUCGCGGGGGCAGGGGCGAGUAAAAGAAGAGAACGCUGGUCAAACAGGAGGCUGGGGAAAAGAUGCGGGGGGGGUGGGGAGGAGGCAGAGGUAGGGGGCGCAGGUGAGAAGGGGAGGGGCGACCAAGUCAUGGCGCGGAUGGCGUCGAGGCCAGGAAGCAGCACGGGUUUAGGGGUCCGGAGACCCCGCCCUCCCUCGGGUCCCGGCGCCCUUCGGCCCUUCCGGGUCCCCAGCAUACGGACUCACCACAGGGGCCUUCUUCUUUCCAGCGAAGGGAGCUGGAAACUGGACACUGGGAAACACUCCGCUCUCCAGGGAUACCACGCCACGCCCCAGAAUCCGCCCCCCGCUCCGCCUCCGAUCCCUCCCUAA